CUGUGAUAAGUCGACGUGCAGUAUAUCAUGCUGAUCCUCUGUCUCCUGAACUUCCUUCUUACUCUUUUCUAAUGCUUCCUCAUCAGUUACCCAACCUGUUGGAGGGGGCAUUAUUCUUGGAGGUGACCCAUACUUUUCAGGGCGGGGCACUCUCUUCUUUCUUUUGGGUGUCCCAUACAGUACAUAGAAAUCGAAAGGACGCCCAGAUGGUUCCCCCAACAAGUCUACUUCGCGAACUCCCUCUUGAUGUAGUUGCUUAAACAGAGUAUUGCGCGAUACUCCUCUCUUUUUCCUUUCUGCUUCUAAGUCAAUUUCUUCUUCAAUGUCUGUCAUCCCAUUGUCCUCCUCGUCGUUGUAGGCCUCUCUAGAGGUCUGGCCUUCUUCACAUACCAACACGCAAGCUUCUUCUUCGUUGUCUUCCUUCUCUUCUUCUUUUUCUUUAUUCUUGAAUUCAUUGGCCAGUAG
rnacentral:lncRNA from 1 species